UUUUUAUCUCUCUUGUUUCUGUUUUUCAGGUGCAGUUAUUGGGCCUUUCCUGAAGGACUAUAGUUGUGAUCUGCUGCUGCCCGACUUGGAUGAAAAGGAAGAUGCAAUGUUUUGCCAUGUGGAUGACGUGUGCCUUCCAGAAGAAGUACCGGUAAAUACAGAGGACGUGAAUUUGACUCUUAGUUGUUUUAGUAUGCAGGCAUUCAUGCCUUUCUACAAGAAAGUUCAUGCUAAGUCUGGAUCGAAACCUUGUGCAGGCCAACAAUGCUUCCCACAUUUCUCUGCUAUGCAUGAUCUUCGCAAACUACUAGAGCUUCAACAUCCACUAUCCAUCCACCGGAGCUGGCAUCAACUUUGG